rnacentral:rRNA from 1 species
GCGCGAAAACUUUACAAUGCGGGAAACCGUGAUAAGGGAACUCCGAGUGUCCGUAAAUGCGGACUGUCCGUAUGUCUAAAAAGCAUGCGAAGAAAGGGCCGGGCAAGACCGGUGCCAGCCGCCGCGGUAAUACCGGCGGCUCGAGUGGUGGCCACUAUUAUUGGGCUUAAAGCGUUCGUAGCUGGAUCGUUAAGUCUCUUGGGAAAUCUACCGGCUUAACCGAUAGGCGUCCAAGGGAUACUGGCGAUCUAGGGACCGGGAGAGGUGAGGGGUACUUCAGGGGUAGGAGUGAAAUCCUGUAAUCCUUGGGGGACCACCUGUGGCGAAGGCGCCUCACCAGAACGGCUCCGACAGUGAGGGACGAAAGCUGGGGGAGCAAACCGGAUUAGAUACCCGGGUAGUCCCAGCCGUAAACGAUGCGCGUUAGGUGUAUCGAUGACCACGAGUCAUCGAGGUGCCGAAGGGAAACCGUGAAACGCGCCGCCUGGGAAGUACGGUCGCAAGGCUGAAACUUAAAGGAAUUGGCGGGGGAGCACCACAACAGGUGGAGCCUGCGGUUU